AUGUGACUACUGCCCUGAUAUUUAUUGUUAACUCGCAGGUUCAUGUUUGGGCCAGAGAGAACCUCUGUUUGCACAAAAAACGUAAGAAACGUAUAGCUACAAGGUGAUUUUAAACAAGGAAAACAAUCAAAUGGACACCUUAUGAUUCUGCUUCAUGCUUAUUGUCUGCUAACUUGCAUCCAUCAGACAAUGUCCUCCCAUAACCAGCGAGCAUAAAAUUGCCUCAACAUAUGGUAAAUGGAACUCUGGAGAUAUAGCAAAUUCCCAUUCUAAUCCAAUCAAAACAUGAUUACAACAAAAGCGCACUCCAACAAUGCACACUUGUCCUUCAGUUUCCUUUUGAGCCCAUAUUCACUGUGUGAGCUGUGAGGAGAGAAUAGGAAUGUGUGAUUAUACUGUAUAGAGCUGGUGAGGGGAGUGUGUCAAAGCGUGCAUGCCACACAAUGUGCCUGGAGAGAUUGAUGUUUUUGUCAUCCACCUGCUUCAAAGCUGUAAAAAGCCGGCUGAUGCAAAUAGAGAAACCUAGCCAGGCAGGCUCACAAACAAAAGAGGGGGAACCUCACUGCUCCUCUUUGCACAAUUUUUUUUUUUUUGGAGGAAUAUCUGAGGUUUCUGUUGUGACGCACACUGGGCUCAAAUGAAUCUAAAGUCUUGUGUCUGGGAGUCGGAUUGCUGAUUGCUGCUGCUACUUCACAUUACAAGCUGUCCACCUGUGAACCACUUGAAACCAUUUAUUGUGAAGCAGCUACAAGAUGUCCAGAGUUACUCACCAGAUGUAGCGGCGGAACACUAAUUUCUGCAUGCGACAGGCGUGGACAGUAAUGGCUGUGUGAUUGGGCUGCGCCGGAUGAUGAUUUUAAUAAACACACACACGCAGAAGGGGCCAAAGGUCAACGGUGUUUGGAUUCAUCAGCCGCACAGGUAGGAUGGAGCUGUGAAUGAUGACACACACUUUUAACAGAUGCACUUUAAUAACCGGUCAACAUGU